GUCCAGCCCCCAACAGACGCCACUUCCAUUAAACCCCAUCUGUAGCUUACUGGGUGUGUGGCCUUGGUUAACCACAAACCCUCAGAAACGCCUCCCUGGCAGCCAGGGCUGAAAGCCACGGGACACACAAGCAAGAUGGCUGAAACCCAUGGGACACAGGCAAGAUGGCUGGUCCUCAAUGCUUCAUUCACAGACGAAAGAGAAAUUAGCUGGUGUCUUCCCAUGCCAUGGUGUAGAGAAUGGCACACUACCCAUGAGUCUUCUAGUUAACUGAAGCAUCCUGAACAGAAGACCGUCUUCUCAGCCUGGCAAGAUAGUGACUGGAAACAGAGCGGUGUCCUCCACAGGGAUCUGCAGUUCUUCGGGGAGUAAGGUGUCUUCAAUCUGCUGCAUGGGGAAGGCUGAGGAGUCGAUGGUUCCCAUCCUGGCAGCAAUUACUUUUAGGAUGAAGUGAACAUGCUUUAUCAAUUCGGGAACCUAAACUCACGACUAUUUUCCUGCCCCAGCUCUGAAUUGGGGGCCGAGUGAUUAGGGAGGAGGAACCUUCCCCAGAUCUGAUUGGAAUUCCCUCAAGGAUCCCCAAAGAGAUUUGAUAAACAAAUAUAGCCGCUAGUAGCUCCAGAUCAUUCCAGAAGGAGAAACCACCAUUGGUUGGAGGAAGGGAGUUGUUCCCGGUCUGUAGGAGGCACGCUGCCCUGCACGAGCCAGCCGGUCCUCUUAUGGAGGCAAACCUAGGAGAACUGGCAUGUGAGGCUUUGCAUACGUGGAGACAGGCCAGACCAGGGAGUCAGUCAGGCAUGGGCAACCCCUUAGGAAGAGAUGAGCUUAGGCUUCAAAUGGCCUGUGGGUGAGGUGGGGGGAAGCCUCAGAGAGAGACAAUAGCUUCCUUUACAUCAUCAGGUCACAAACCACUCCCGGCUGAAUGCCACAGCUAGGCCCUAGUGGCUUCACUAGUGAGAGAGAAUUGAAAUCGUCAUGGCUGAAUUGUGCCCCUCAAAAUUCAUAUGCAGAAGGCUUAACCCUCACACCUCAGAAACCAGCUGAGUUUGGACAGAGGGCCUCUUCGGAGAUGACCGAGUUAAAAUGUGGCUAUGAGGAUGUACCCUAACACAAUCUGUCUAACGUCCUUGUGAGAAGAAAUACGUACAGAAGAAUGCCAGGCCCUCACAUGCAGAGAAAAGAUCAUGUGAGGACCCACAGAGAGGCAGACCCAGGACAGAGGCCUGCUUCCUGACAUCUUCAGCCUUCAGCCUCUAGAACUGUAAGACACUCUCCUAGUCAGGGUUACUAUGGCUGUGAUGAAACACUAUGACCGAAAGUAGCAUGGGGGGUAUUUAUUUCCCUCACAGUUCCAUAUAACAGUUCAUCAUCAAAAGCAGUGAGGACAGGAACUCACACAGGACAGGCGCCUGGAGGCAGCAGCUGAUGCAGAGGCCAUGGAGGGUGCUGCUUACUACUGGCUUGCUCCUCAAGGCUUGCUGAGUCUGCUUUCUUAUGGAACCCAGGACCACCAGCCCAGGGAUGGCACCACCCACAGUGGGCUGGAGCCUCUCACAUCAACUGCUAAUUAAGACAAUGCCUCACAGGUUUGCUUGCAGUCCAUCUUUGGGAGGCUUUUCUCAGGUGAGCUUCUGUCCUCUCUGAUGACUCUAGCUUGUGUCACUGUUGACAUAAAAUUGUCCAGCACAGAAGGUUUCUGCUGUCCAGCCCCCUACCCUCUGACAUUCUGAUAGAGAGCUGACUCAUGUCUUUUGAGGAGGCAGACAACAAAUUAAUUAAUUGAUACAUUAAAGACAGUCAUGAAGGGCAUUGGGAAGGGUGAGCUCUUUUGAGGGGACAUGUGAAGAGCAGCCAGAGGGCAGGAGAGAGAAAGCAGGUCAACAGAGUUCCCAGUGCAGAGUCCUGGGAAAUAAGGUUGAUGCCCCAGGAACAGCAGAUGGCAAAAUAUCCUGGAAUGGGCAGGAGUGUUCAGGCCUUAGUCUUGAUGGCAACAUCAUACUAUUAUAGGCUUCUAAGUGGAAGAGGAACUCUAGGAGAACAAUAAUUCAAGUAUAUUUUUCUUCCAGAAUGUUCUAAGGGUUCAAGGUACAGUAAUGGGAGGAAGGGAGGAAGGCUAGGCAGAAGUGGGAACAGGCAGGCAGUGGUUGGGGGAGAGCUGCACACACAGACAUUUUAGUCAACGGGUAGGGCUUGGUGAUGGGAAGUCCAUUAGUCGUCUUAUCCCUGAAGCUGUCUGUCUGGGUGCUCAUGAGUUCUGGGAAGGAUGGAUCCUUGGAGGAUGGGUCUCCAAAGUCAAGUGUUGUCAUGGCACCCAGCUUCAUGCCAAGGGCAUAGAGACCAGUGGCUAUCUCCUCUCACAGCCUUCCUUCUCCAUCCCUGCAGGAUGCAUCACAGACUGCAUAGUAAGCCUCUUCAGAGCCCUGUAGGAAAAAUAUCUGAUAGCAGCUUCAUGACUCAGUAGAGAAUGCUACCUGGAAAAUGUCCGUAAAGCCGUACUUCAUGUUUCUCUCUGAGGGUCCUCUGACCUCUGGUUGUCUUUUCAACUCUUCACAGCUGGAGUGACAGGGAGAGACACAGGUAAAAGGAAAUGUCAUCAAAGUGACUGCACGUCCCACACUUUCCCCGGAGGCGACUUCACUGUCUGACUGACACAAACAGACCAGCUGCGGCUCAGAUCUGCUGGGAAGGAAAUGACGAUAUGAAAGAUGUGGGGCGAAAGUUCCUGAUCACCUGCUGGUAGCCCAAGCUCACCGACUCACAGAAAUUUCCAGAAAGAGAACCUGAGUAGAUCCCAGGCUGUCUGUGGUGAAUGGAGCUUGUGGCCAAGGUUAAAAGGCAACCAUAUGAAGCUUGUAGUCAGGAAACCUUAGUCUGCCCAGUUCCGAGGCCAGAGCUUCUGGGGAGACACAAACAGAAGAUGAACUCUUCAUCCUACAGCAAUCUGCCGGGCUUUGUUUUUACCAGCCAGCAGUUGCUGGUUUCUUUGGAAACAUUAGAUUAGAGGCACUGCCCUCCAAGAGACCUAUGUGUGAGGCACUAGGCUUAAGCUAACAUAAACAUGAGUAGAGAUAAAACCCAGGGUGAGGGUGCAGGGAAAAUCCUGGCUUGGCUGCUGCCUCUAACAGCUUUUAUCUAACUAAGGUAGGGGUUAAAGAGCAGAUCAUUUCAACAAAUCAUUAGUUCAUGGCUAGCCAAGUUUAUUGAUUUAUUGUUUUCAUUCUUGAACAAUAAAGCUUCAGGAUCCUCAGCCUUGCUGGGAAAGGGAAAGAGCUAAGUUUAUUUUGUAGCAGGUGUGGUCCGAGAACCAGUGACGAUGGCACCGCCCAGGAGAAUGAUUGACACUCAGGGCCCCAGACGGCCACGCAGUCCUCCAGGGAGGCUUUGGGCACACAUUAAGGUUUCAAAACCAAGGCUUAGGAGAAACACAGGCAAAAGGAAGAGCCCAGGGAAGCUGGAUAAGUGGGCUUAGAAGUAUAAGAGCCAGAUUCGGGGUGAAAGCCAGAAGCACACACCUCUACUUGCUGAGCAGGACUAACAGGUCUGCAGCCUUGGUCACAGGGUUUAGACAGCAAGGGAGGACACUGAGGAAGAGGGCUGGUCUUCACUUCUGAGCUAAAAGGACAACACUGCCUGUCCUUCCUUGGUACUGUUGCACAUCAUCGGCCCAGUUCAUGGGAUUAGAGGUUAUGCAAAGUGUGACAGUAUAAAAUAAAAAAGAUGUCUUUCCAAUUAACAACAGGUAAAGGGCACCUUACAAACCGUACUUGGUACUGUAUGCCUCUUGGGUAAUUUUCCUAUUGCUUACUUUUCCAAAGGGGCAGCACCAGACUAACCAAGAUAAUGACUGCUAGCGACCUGGCUGAGCAGCAAUUGUUCAUGGUACCUAUCAAAUACGAAAUCACUGCAUGUCCCAAACCAGAGAGAAGCAGGGGGAGGAGAUUUGAGUGUAGACAUUUGCUUAAGUUCUGACCAGUUGACUUCCCAUGUGACCCCGGGAAAGCGCCUAUUCCUUGAAACUAAUAAUAAACUGUAAAAUACUGA